GAUGAACGCUGGCGGCGUGCCUAAUACAUGCAAGUCGAACGAGUUCUCGUUGAUGAUUGGUGCUUGCACCGAGAUUCAACAUGGAACGAGUGGCGGACGGGUGAGUAACACGUGGGUAACCUGCCCUUAAGUGGGGGAUAACAUUUGGAAACAGAUGCUAAUACCGCAUAGAUCCAAGAACCGCAUGGUUCUUGGCUGAAAGAUGGCGUAAGCUAUCGCUUUUGGAUGGACCCGCGGCGUAUUAGCUAGUUGGUGAGGUAAUGGCUCACCAAGGCGAUGAUACGUAGCCGAACUGAGAGGUUGAUCGGCCACAUUGGGACUGAGACACGGCCCAAACUCCUACGGGAGGCAGCAGUAGGGAAUCUUCCACAAUGGACGCAAGUCUGAUGGAGCAACGCCGCGUGAGUGAAGAAGGCUUUCGGGUCGUAAAACUCUGUUGUUGGAGAAGAAUGGUCGGCAGAGUAACUGUUGUCGGCGUGACGGUAUCCAACCAGAAAGCCACGGCUAACUACGUGCCAGCAGCCGCGGUAAUACGUAGGUGGCAAGCGUUAUCCGGAUUUAUUGGGCGUAAAGCGAGCGCAGGCGGUUUUUUAAGUCUGAUGUGAAAGCCCUCGGCUUAACCGAGGAAGCGCAUCGGAAACUGGGAAACUUGAGUGCAGAAGAGGACAGUGGAACUCCAUGUGUAGCGGUGAAAUGCGUAGAUAUAUGGAAGAACACCAGUGGCGAAGGCGGCUGUCUGGUCUGUAACUGACGCUGAGGCUCGAAAGCAUGGGUAGCGAACAGGAUUAGAUACCCUGGUAGUCCAUGCCGUAAACGAUGAAUGCUAGGUGUUGGAGGGUUUCCGCCCUUCAGUGCCGCAGCUAACGCAUUAAGCAUUCCGCCUGGGGAGUACGACCGCAAGGUUGAAACUCAAAGGAAUUGACGGGGGCCCGCACAAGCGGUGGAGCAUGUGGUUUAAUUCGAAGCAACGCGAAGAACCUUACCAGGUCUUGACAUCUUUUGAUCACCUGAGAGAUCAGGUUUCCCCUUCGGGGGCAAAAUGACAGGUGGUGCAUGGUUGUCGUCAGCUCGUGUCGUGAGAUGUUGGGUUAAGUCCCGCAACGAGCGCAACCCUUAUGACUAGUUGCCAGCAUUUAGUUGGGCACUCUAGUAAGACUGCCGGUGACAAACCGGAGGAAGGUGGGGAUGACGUCAAAUCAUCAUGCCCCUUAUGACCUGGGCUACACACGUGCUACAAUGGAUGGUACAACGAGUUGCGAGACCGCGAGGUCAAGCUAAUCUCUUAAAGCCAUUCUCAGUUCGGACUGUAGGCUGCAACUCGCCUACACGAAGUCGGAAUCGCUAGUAAUCGCGGAUCAGCACGCCGCGGUGAAUACGUUCCCGGGCCUUGUACACACCGCCCGUCACACCAUGAGAGUUUGUAACACCCGAAGCCGGUGGCGUAACCCUUUUAGGGAGCGAGCCGUCUAAGGUGGGACAAAUGAUUAGGGUGAAG
rnacentral:rRNA from 1 species